rnacentral:rRNA from 1 species
AGAGUUUGAUCCUGGCUCAGAUUGAACGCUGGCGGAAUGCUUUACACAUGCAAGUCGAGCGGCAGCGCGGGGCAACCUGGCGGCGAGCGGCCAUCGGGUGAGUAAUGCAUCGGAACAUGUCCAAGUCGUGGGGGAUAGCCCGGCCAUAGCCGGAUUAAUACCGCAAUUGCCCGAGAGGGGAAAGUGGGGGACCGCAAGGCCUCACGCGAUUGGGUUGGCCGAUGUCCGAUUAGCUAGUUGGCGGGGUAAGAGCCCACCAAGGCGAUGAUCGGUAGCUGGUCUGAGAGGAUGAUCAGCCACACUGGGACUGAGACACGGCCCAGACUCCUACGGGAGGCAGCAGUGGGGAAUUUUGGACAAUGGGGGAAACCCUGAUCCAGCCAUUCCGCGUGAGUGAAGAAGGCCUUCGGGUUGUAAAGCUCUUUUGUCCGGAACCAUACGGCUACGUCUAAUAAGCGUGGCUACUGACGGUACCGGAAGAAUAAGCACCGGCUAGCUCAGUGCCAGCAGCCGCGGUAAUACGUAGGGUGCGAGCGUUAAUCGGAAUUACUGGGCGUAAAGCGUGCGCAGGCGGUUUUGUAAGCCAGAUGUGAAAUCCCCGGGCUUAACCUGGGAAUGGCAUUUGGGACUGCAAGGCUUGAGUGCGGCAGAGGAGACUGGAAUUCCCGGUGUAGCAGUGAAAUGCGUAGAUAUCGGGAGGAAUACCGAUGGCCAUAGCAGGUCUCUGGGCUGACACUGACGCUCAUGCACCAUAGCGUGGGGAGCAAACAGGAUUAGAUACCCUGGUAGUCCACGCCCUAAACGAUGUCGACUGGUUGUUGGGGGUUUGACACUCUCAGUAACCAUGCUAACGCGUGAAGUC